rnacentral:rRNA from 1 species
UACGUAGGGUGCGAGCGUUGUCCGGAAUUAUUGGGCGUAAAGAGCUCGUAGGCGGUCUGUCGCGUCUGCUGUGAAAUCCCGAGGCUCAACCUCGGACUUGCAGUGGGUACGGGCAGGCUAGAGUGCGGUAGGGGAGAGUGGAACUCCUGGUGUAGCGGUGGAAUGCGCAGAUAUCAGGAAGAACACCGAUGGCGAAGGCAGUACUCUGGGCCGUAACUGACGCUGAGGAGCGAAAGCGUGGGGAGCGAACAGG